rnacentral:rRNA from 1 species
AGCGAACGCUGGCGGCAGGCUUAACACAUGCAAGUCGAGCGCCCCGCAAGGGGAGCGGCAGACGGGAGAGUAACACGUGGGAACAUACCUUUUGGUUCGGAACAACUGAGGGACACUUCAGCUAAUACCGGAUAAGCCCUUACGGGGAAAGAUUUAUCGCCGAAAGAUUGGCCCGCGUCUGAUUAGCUAGUUGGUGAGGUAACGGCUCACCAAGGCGACGAUCAGUAGCUGGUCUGAGAGGAUGAUCAGCCUCACUGGGACUGAGACACGGCCCAGACUCCUACGGAAGGAAGAAGGGGGGAAAAUGGAAAAAGGGGGCAACCCUGAUCCAGCCAUGCCGCGUGAGUGAUGAAGGCCUUAGGGUUGUAAAGCUCUUUUGCCCGGGAAGAUAAUGACGGUACCGGGAGAAUAAGCCCCGGCUAACUUCGUG